CGGUCCCGCUGUACCAGUGGCGAGGAGGAGCGAGCUCCCGGGUUUCCUCACGUGGCCAAGCCUGUUACUGGAAGAAAUGCCUGUGGAAGUGACAUAAGUGGUGAACUCUGGCAGCCAUCAUGUGCCUCACAGACCUCUAGCUGCAGCAACUGUUCUACUCAGGAGAAAAUAAAUUGAACUAAGAGUGACUGAGAUUUUAAUAGCUGGAAAUGACUGGAAAGCUGUAGAAAUCUGCUCAGAUAUCCUUAGGAGAUGUUA